GAGGCUGGCAGGGGAGGCGAGGGCAUAACAUGGCGCGAUGCUAGGAUAAUCUCCACCGCGGCCGAGGGAGGACGGACCUAUUGCUGCAGUAGCGCGAGGAGAAAGAGGAGGAGGGAGGCAGCCGGGGUUGGGUAUCCGAUUCAUUCUCCAAAGCUUUCAGAUCUUCCGGGAGGAAACGCGGCGGCCGCGGCGGUGGGGAGGUGAGAGAAGAGGAGGCAGUAGACUUGGCCGGAGAAGAUGUCGGGCCAAACGCUCACGGAUCGGAUCGCUGCGGCUCAGUACAGCGUGACAGGCUCCGCUGUGGCGAGAGCGGUCUGCAAAGCCACCACUCAUGAAGUGAUGGGCCCCAAGAAAAAGCACCUGGACUAUCUGAUCCAGGCCACCAACGAGACCAAUGUGAAUAUUCCUCAGAUGGCGGACACGCUCUUUGAGCGAGCCACAAAUAGCAGCUGGGUGGUUGUAUUUAAAGCUUUAGUGACGACACAUCAUCUCAUGGUGCAUGGAAAUGAGAGAUUUAUUCAGUAUUUGGCCUCUAGAAAUACACUAUUCAAUCUCAGCAACUUUUUGGAUAAAAGUGGAUCACAUGGCUAUGAUAUGUCUACCUUCAUAAGGCGCUACAGUAGAUAUUUAAAUGAAAAGGCUUUCUCUUACAGACAGAUGGCAUUUGAUUUUGCCAGGGUGAAGAAAGGGGCUGAUGGUGUAAUGAGGACAAUGGCUCCUGAAAAGCUACUAAAAAGCAUGCCAAUACUACAGGGACAGAUUGAUGCGCUGCUUGAAUUUGAUGUGCAUCCAAAUGAACUAACAAAUGGUGUCAUAAAUGCUGCAUUUAUGCUUCUUUUCAAAGACCUUAUCAAACUUUUUGCUUGCUACAAUGAUGGAGUUAUUAACUUACUUGAAAAGUUCUUUGAAAUGAAGAAGGGACAAUGUAAAGAUGCACUAGAAAUUUACAAACGCUUCCUCACCAGAAUGACACGAGUGUCUGAAUUUCUCAAAGUGGCCGAGCAAGUUGGUAUCGAUAAAGGUGACAUUCCUGACCUCACACAGGCUCCCAGCAGUCUCAUGGAGACCCUUGAACAGCAUCUAAAUACAUUAGAAGGAAAGAAACCCGGAAACAAUGAAGGAUCUGGUGCUCCCUCUCCAUUAAGUAAGUCUUCUCCAGCCACAACCGUUACGUCGCCUAAUUCCACACCAGCGAAAACCGUUGACACUUCCCCUCCGGUUGAUUUAUUUGCAACUGCGUCUGCUGCUGCCCCAGUCAGCUCUUCUAAGCCAUCCAGUGAUCUCCUUGACCUCCAACCUGACUUUUCCCCAGGAGGGGCAGCAGCAGCUGCGGCACCAGCACCCCCGCCACCUUCUGGAGGAGCCACGGCGUGGGGAGACCUUUUGGGAGAGGAUUCUUUGGCUGCACUAGCUUCUGUUCCCUCUGAAGCACAGAUUUCAGAUCCGUUUGCACCAGAACCUACCCUGCCUCCUACAGCUGCUGAAAUCGCAACGGCUUCAGCGUCUGCCUCCACCACCACCACUGUUACUGCUGUCACAGCUGAGGUGGAUCUCUUCGGAGAUGCCUUUGCAGCUUCUCCUGGGGAGGCCCCUGCAGCAUCCGAAGGGGCCGCCGUACCAGCUACCCCAACCCCUGUAGCAGCAGCACUUGAUGCAUGUUCAGGAAAUGACCCCUUUGCCCCGUCUGAAGGUAGUGCAGAGGCUGCACCUGAGCUGGACCUCUUUGCAAUGAAGCCUCCUGAGACCAGUGUUCCUGUAGUUACCCCUACAGCUAGCACAGCCCCUCCGGUUCCCGCAACCGCUCCUUCUCCUGCUCCUGCCGUUGCAGCGGCCACUGCUGUCACUACUGCUGCCGCCACCACUGCCACCACCUCCGCCACAGCCACCACCACUGCUGCUCCUGCUCUAGAUAUCUUUGGUGAUCUAUUUGAGUCGGCCCCGGAAGCCCCUGCAGCGCCUAAGCCGGAUGCUGCUGCUCCUAGCAUAGACUUGUUUGGUACAGAUGCUUUCUCCUCUCCACCGCAAGGGGCCUCUCCUGUGCCUGAGAGCUCUCUCACUGCAGACCUCUUAUCCGUGGAUGCAUUUACAGCACCAUCUCCUGCAACCACUGCCUCUCCGGCAAAGGUGGACUCUUCAGGUGUGAUAGACCUAUUUGGGGAUGCGUUUGGAAGUAGUGCUUCUGAACCUCAACCUGCACCUCAGGCUGCUUCUAGUUCCUCAGCAUCGGCAGACCUCCUGGCUGGAUUUGGGGGUACUUUCAUGGCCCCUUCUCCAUCACCAGUGACUCCAGCUCAGAAUAACCUGCUACAACCCAAUUUUGAAGCAGCUUUUGGGGCAACGCCUUCAACUUCCAGCAGCAGCUCAUUUGAUCCAUCAGUGUUUGACGGCCUAGGUGAUCUUCUGAUGCCAACUAUGGUACCCGCCGGGCAGCCUGCGCCUGUGUCAGUGCUACCGCCCAGUCCCGCAAUGGCUGCAAGCAAAGCCCUGGGGAGUGAUCUUGAUUCGUCUCUUGCCAGCUUAGUAGGCAAUCUUGGAAUUUCUGGUACCACAACAAAAAAGGGAGAUCUUCAGUGGAAUGCUGGGGAGAAGAAGUUGACAGGUGGAGCCAACUGGCAGCCGAAAGUCGCUCCUGCAACAUGGUCAUCAAGUGCACCAUUGCAAGGAACUGUACCUCCAACCAGUUCGGUUCCUCCUGUGGCUGGGGCCCCAUCUGUUGGACAACCAGGAACAGGAUUCGGAAUGCCUCCUUCUGGGUCAGGCAUGCCAAUGAUGGCUCAGCAGCCAGUCAUGUUUGCACAGCCCAUGAUGAGGCCACCUUUUGGGGCUGCAGCUGUACCAGGCACACAGCUUUCUCCAAGCCCUACACCUGCCACUCAGAGUCCCAAGAAACCUCCAGCAAAGGACCCAUUAGCGGAUCUUAACAUCAAGGAUUUCUUGUAAACAAUUUAAGACAAGGUGUCUCAGCCUUGAGACUCCAUCCAGGAGGUGUUUCCCAUCCCAGCUGUGAUUUUUUUUUUUUGACUGAACAGGAAAAAAAUGAGUUUGGAGACUUCAAAUAGGAUUGAUUCUCAGAGUUUCAAAGUGAGCCACCAGUACCAAUCCCAACGCUUACUCAUAACUUCUCUUCCAAAAUGUCUAGCACAGCUGUGAAAGUGAACAGUAGGAAUGUGUACUCCCUUAGCUGUGAUCCCUACUUUGGACCUUAUAGUGUAUUUGGACCAUUUGUGUGUUGUGCGAUAUAAACAAUGAAUGGAUGUUUCUGAUGCCUUUCGCGCUUUUCUGACCUCGCCUGUGUACGGAUGAUGCAGCUGUUGUGUGGUGAGCCAUUUGGAAAGACGUGUCUGUGUUUUUGAAGGUUCGAUGUAUAUAUAACUUUUGGACAGAACCUAAACCCUUCCCAUAAGUUCUCUUUUCUUCUGUAUCUCUGUUCCAAUCAUAGUGUGAUGAUGUCAACUAGUAGGAAAAACAACAACAAACAACUCUUAAACAUGCAAACUUUUUUGGUGUGGAGUACAAUUUUCCAAUCACAGGAACUUCAAUUGUUGUGAGAAAUGUUUAUUUUUGUGGCACUGUAUAUGUUAAGAAAUUUUAUUUUAAAAAAUAUAAAGGUUAACGUCCAUAAUAAAUACUUCUCCUUGAAGCUACCUUAUCAAGAAUGAGAAAUCAUAUGGAAGAAUUCCAUAUUUACCAUUGCUGUAUUGAAAUAUAUAUUUUAAUUAUAUUGGACAGAUUUUGCAUCUAAAUUGACCUAUUUAUUCAUUCUUGAUUAAAUGCACUGUCAGUAAGAAAGCAAUUAGAGAUGUGCUACUUCAAGUGAUUGUGAAGGCACCCUGAAGUACAAGUGUAAUUUAAAAUUUACUGCAAAUAUUUUUUAUUUUAUUGUGGGUUUUAUGUACAUCUGUUGAUUUAGUAUUUUUUUGUGCAUUCUGUAGACUAGUAUUCUUCCAUUCCUCAACAGAGCUCAAAGUAGGUUUUGUUGUACCAUUGUGAUUAGGACUUAAACUAAUUCAGAGAACUGUACCCUUUAUUGUACAUACUGUAUUCUUUAAUUUUUGAUUCGUUGUCAUACUGUCUGUGCUGAUGGCUUGGCUUAAGAUUUCGAUGCAUAAAUGAGGUCACUGUUGAUCAGUGUUGCUAGUGGCUUGGCAGCUCUUCGUAAAAGCAUAUUGGGUUGGAAAGGUGUUUGCCUAUUUUUCAAAUUAUUUAAUAGAUGUAUGGUACCCUUUAAAAGUGGUUGUAUCUGAAUUUACUGUGGGGAUAACAUACACUGUAAUGGGGGAAAAUUACCUAAAACCAAUUUCAAAAUGGCUUUUCUUUGUAUUUUGGUUUAAGAACCCAGUGCAUGUAAGCUCUCUGAGAUGCAAUAAACACCUUGAACAAAGAAAAC